GUGGACAUUGGACUGAGAAAGAAUCAUGAUUCAUGAAUUUAUUAACUCGAUCUGUUGCCCCCCUACACACGUGAUACGGUACACCGUUGCUGCUAGGCGCAACCGUCUAGCUAGCUGGAGCAGCCCGGAAAAGAGUGAAUUGAAUUAUAAAGAGUUAUUAAGAGAGGAAAAAGGAGAAAAAGAAAGAGAAAAGAAGAAGAAGGACUAAAACCUAAAAAGGUAUUUGGACGUACGUCUCAUUAGUGAUUGUGGAUCUGGUGAUCAUUUUGACUUAAGUAAUGAGUUCGGAUGGAGAGAAGGAAGACUUGAAGGAGGAUGAGGGUGGUGAUUCCUCCUCCCCUCCCCCAGUAGCACCAGCCUCAUCGGAUGUCAAAGAGGACCAAGAAGUGCGGCGACCCAAUGGGAGAGUGAUUUCUGAUUUUUUAGGCGCUUGUGGAUCAUUAGACAUUAAGAAAAUGCGAGAGAUUUUAGAUAAGGAUGAUCUGGAUCCGAAUGAUAUUGUGGAUGAUGUGGGUCAAAAUGGUUUUCACUAUGCCGUGUGCUCCAUUCUGAGGAACAACACGUCACGACAAACCUCCGUUUUGAAAUAUUUACGAAAGAAGGGUCUGAAUGUGAAUAAAGCAAGAACAACGGACAAAUGGACACCCAUUUUUCUGGCUGUGGCUUUUGGAUUUCAAAAUAUUGUGAGUUGGCUCCUUUCCAAAGGUGCAAGGAUCGAUAUAUCCGACUCUGAGACUCGCUCACCAGAAGAAGUGGCUGCAACUUAUCGAUUUCAUAAAAUCAAGGAUAUCCUGAUUCAUCAUCGCUCUCGUGUACCUCAUUCAAGAUUUUCCUGCGUUUUGAGUGGACCUGCCAUUAGUAGUCCGACAUCCCCACCACCCCCGGCCCCUCCAACGACGACGACGACAAUUACCAAUAUCUCAUCUCAAGAACCAUCAUCUACUGAUAAUAAUUCAAGUGUAUUUUCUCCAACUGUUGAGGGGGAAGCAGCGGAGAACAGUAUGAUGCUUAAAGCAGCCUAAUGAAGACGUUGAGAAUAUCAGAUAUAAAUUAUAUCUCCAAUGAAAUAAAUAUUUUGAAUGUGUAGCACAUGUGCAGUUUGACUAGCUCAUCACAUGUGCUAAUGUUUUACAACAGAAGAAGUUUAGGAGGUUUAGAAAGAGAAGAAUAAUGAAAUUGAUUAAUAGCAAUUAUUAUAUCAUUAUGAACUUCAACGUUGUUUUUUUAUCGUCUUUUAAACUUACUUCCAUCUUAAUCAUAUAAACUUUUAUAACAAAGCAGAUAAAUGGCAUUUCUUUUCUAAAAUCAUUUAUUUAUACCUUGUUUCUAUAUGUCUUGGCUGUGUUUUUGGUGAGAGGUGAACAUUAAUUCCUAUAAAUUAACUCGUAAUUAUAAAAUUAUGUUUAAUACAUAUAUAUAUAUAUAAUUCGAUUUUCUCUUUAUUAACAAUUGUGCCUAUAACCUGUCAAUCCAACUCUUUAGAAAUGCAGUCAAAAUAACUAAAAGCUUAUAACUACUAAUACUUUUAUACUUGAAAUAUAUUUGGAGUGAAUUUAAA
rnacentral:misc_RNA from 1 species